rnacentral:lncRNA from 1 species
CCAGCUGUUGGAGGCAAAUCAAAGAUGAAGAACAAGGAUGAAGGACUUUGACAGGCUGAUCUGCACUGUCCAAACUGAACUCUUCUAAUGAGCCGCGAGUGAGGUGAGAACAGACGUUAUUAAGACUGUAUUCAGUAGUUUGGGUAUAAACGUGAUGAUUACAAUUAAUGACAAGCAUAUGCCUGAUUUCAGUGAUGUCAUCUUUUAAUCUGAUCACCCUGAGUUGAGCUGGUUAUAAUGUUUUAUUCCCUAAGCAGCUGAUUUACACUGUGUUUCUCUUCUAGGUGAAGGCUUGUUGUGCAGGACGUCCUGGAGUCUCACGGUAAGUUCCUAUUACUCGUUGUUUUAAUGCACAUGUCCUUCUAUAAUGCAGUUACAAUGAUGAUGAACUUAGCUCACUUUGAACCGAUGUGAAACGACACGAACAACUGAGCAACUGCAUUACUUUCAGCUUCAAGUCUGGAAUGAACUUUAGUUAAAAGUGUCUCCAGCGUGUAGUAACUGUGUUCUGUUACAGGUUCAUGACCGAGGCUUCACUCGUGCUGCUGAAGUCCAUGGUGCUGCUGAAGUCAAAGGUACCUGGCUCUUGGAGAUGCUGCCAACUUAACGACAGGUGCUUGUCCAGGUCAAUGCUGAACUGGGGUCAUCAAGACGGACCGAGCCAAUGA